AUAGAAUGGGAGUGGGACACCGAUAAAUGCCGUAAGCGGAGGCAGCGGAGCUGCCCCAAGUCCUAGAAUUCGGGCAGGAUUCCGGUUCAAACUUACCUACAAAACCUAUUAGAAUAUCCGUCCUCGAGAAACCCUGGCUAUAAAAGCACGAGUAUUUUUACCUUUUUCUAGAGGAAGGACCAGAAAAAUAGCUUUCAUGGUUCUUGGGUUUCCUGAACCGCCGCAUGGGAGUAAGGCUUAUGAUUGAGUUUGUAUAAGCAGCAAAAUCCAACAAUUCAACUAUCUAUGCAUAACUAGUUUCCUCAGACAUCCUCUUCACUGUCCUCCAUGACAGGUAGCUCAUUAGCUCACUAAGAUCAAAUAUAGUAUUUUCUGAAAUUUUACUUCUUAAUUGCCUUCCUCUUUGAUCAAGAGGGCUUUGUACCAUCUAAUAUGGUGUGAACCACCUACUUAUUAAUCCCUUUGGAAUGUCUUGUUGAAGAUAUUGCGCCUUGAGUAGUUCUCAUUGGCAUUUGGUUUGUCAAGUUGGUUAGUAGCAGUUGCACUUCAUUCAUUCUCAGCAAUGUAGGAAUUGACAAAUGCAGAUUUAUCUCUAGAAUAUUUUUUGCUACUAUUGUAUGGUCAGAUCUAAGCCUUGCUUCUUCCUGUCGGCUUGUAUUAGCCUGUGCUUUAUUACAGGUUUCAGCAGUAGUAUUGUUCCACGGAGUUAAGGUCCAAAAUAUGGAAGAAAAAUGUGUUUCCACGACUCUACCACCCAGAAGAUGUGUACGACCGAGAUAUCCGGCAACACGAAGGAAAAGAAUUGAAUAGAGGACUUUUACUACCAUUGUUCAAAUCUUUUUGACAACGCCAAAAAAACCAGAGGCUCCUGUCCUUCCAUCCCUGGAUAGACAGCCUAUGUAUCAACCACAGUAAUGGAAGUGUGCUUUUGGUUAUAGCUAUAUCUUGCAAGCAUUCUUUCAUGUUGUGAAGGGGAAGAAAAUCUGGAUUAAUAGAAGCAGGGUCAAUGCCCAAACACAAUGAUGUGAUGUGGAUCAGAACCAACUAAACCUACACGAAAAAAAGAGAGAGGAAAACUGCACCAAAAAGACGAUGUGGAGAAGUGUGGUGAAUCUGGAUGUGGUGGGACUGGUAUGUAUCUUGGUACUGACUACUGAGGGCUGCAUUAGAGUGAACUUUUCCAUUGUCAAUGGAGUAUGUGCUGUGGGUGUGUUUGAAUUUGUCAGCAGGUCGAGUUAAUUUAAUUUAGGGAAAAAUGUAAAAUUAGUUACGUGGUUACACCGAUUUCCAAUAAGUUUAUUGGAGUAUAAAAGUUUGCUGGCAGCUCACUGUGGCAAGAAAAAAAAAGGGUUAAUGCAUUCAA